rnacentral:rRNA from 1 species
UCAUUAAAUCAGUUACUAUCCAUUGGAUGAUAACUUUUCUACAUGGAUAACUGUGGUAAUUCUAGAGCUAAUACGUGCAACAUGUCUCGUUAAAUUGGUCGCAAGAUCUUUUUAACUUGACGCACUUUAUUAGACCAAGACCAAUGGGUUCGUUAGCAAUAACUAACCCCUUGACUCAUGGUGACUCUGGAUAACCUCGCAAAUCGCAUGGCCUCUGUGCCGGCGAUAUGUCCUAUGAGUAACUGCCUUAUCAACUUGAUGGUAGGUUCAAUGCCUACCAUGGUUGUUACGGGUAACGGGGAAUCAGGGUUCGAUUCCGGAGAGGGAGCCUGAGAAACGGCUACCACAUCCAAGGAAGGCAGCAGGCACGCAAAUUACCCACUCUUAGCACGAGGAGGUAGUGACGAAAAAUACCGGUACAGGACUCUUAGGAGGCCCUGUAAUCGGAAUGAGUACGAUCUAAAUCCUCUAACGAGGAUCUAUUGGAGGGCAAGUCUGGUGCCAGCAGCCGCGGUAAUUCCAGCUCCAAUAGCGUAUAUUAAAGUUGUUGCGGUUAAAAAGCUCGUAGUUGGAUCUCGAUUCAUAGUGUGUGGUCCACCUCACGGUGGUUACUUCACACUUGAAUCACUCGAUGGGUUUCGUUGUGUUCCUCACGGUUCACAUCUUUGAUGAUUCUCUUAAUCGAGUGUCAUCAAAGACCCAGUCUGUUUACUUUGAACAAAUUAGAGUGCUCAAAGCAGGUCGUCUUUUCUAAAGUCGCCUUGAAUAAUCUUGCAUGGAAUAAUAGAAUAGGACUUUGUUUCUAUUCUGUUGGUCUUCGGUAACAAAGUAAUGAUUAAGAGGGACAGACGGGGGCAUUAGUAUUGCGGCGCUAGAGGUGAAAUUCUUGGACCGUCGCAAGACUAACAACAGCGAAAGCAUUUGCCAAGAAUGUUUUCAUUAAUCAAGAACGAAAGUUAGAGGUUCGAAGGCGAUCAGAUACCGCCCUAGUUCUAACCAUAAACGAUGCCAACCAGCGAUCAGGCUGAGUACUUUCAAGGACUCGCCUGGGAACUUUCUUCGGGAAACCAAAGUCUUUGGGUUCCGGGGGAAGUAUGGUUGCAAAACUGAAACUUAAAGGAAUUGACGGAAGGGCACCACCAGGAGUGGAGCCUGCGGCUUAAUUUGACUCAACACGGGGAAACUCACCCGGCCCGGACACUAUGAGGAUUGACAGAUUGAGAGCUCUUUCUUGAUAUAGUGGGUGGUGGUGCAUGGCCGUUCUUAGUUGGUGGAUCGAUUUGUCUGGUUAAUUCCGAUAACGAACGAGACUCUAUCCUAUUAAAUAGUAUUUACUAAAUCUCCUUUAUUGGCGAUUAAAUACUUCUUAGAGGGACAGGCGGCGAUUCAGCCGCACGAGAAAGAGCAAUAACAGGUCUGUGAUGCCCUUAGAUGUUCGGGGCCGCACGCGCGCUACACUGAAGUGUACAGCGUGCAUUAUAUUCCUACCUCGAAAUGAGGCAGGAAACCCUGGUAAUCCUCGUCGUAAUUGGGAUUGGGCAUUGUAACUAUACCCAUGAACGAGGAAUUCCCAGUAAGCGUGAGUCAUCACCUAGCGUUGAUUACGUCCCUGCCCUUUGUACACACCGCCCGUCGCUACUACCGAUUGAAUGAUUUAGUGAGGUCUUCGGAUUGAGUUUAGGAGUGUUCCUUCGGGAUGCUAAUAAAUUUGAGAAGAUGACCAAACUUGAUCAUUU